rnacentral:misc_RNA from 1 species
AAGUCGUAACAAGGUUUCCGUAGGUGAACCUGCGGAAGGAUCAUUAACACUUUUUCGGUUCUGUUUCCCUUUUCGAGUGCAGAGUCGUUCGUUAUUGUGCGAUUCUCCUCGAUUUGGGAGCGAACUCAUCAUCCAAAUACCCAAACUGAAUUGCUUGUGGAGAAAGUUUCUUGCUUUCUCCCAUUUUUUUUCAUUUCUUUCAAUUACAAAAAACCCCAAUCUAAUUGCUAAUGCUAUGACAAAAACAAAACAAAAAACUACUUUAACGUAACCAAACAACUCUUAGCAACGGAUAUCUUGGCUCUC